rnacentral:rRNA from 1 species
UACGGAGGAUCCGAGCGUUAUCCGGAUUUAUUGGGUUUAAAGGGAGCGUAGGUGGAUUGUUAAGUCAGUUGUGAAAGUUUGCGGCUCAACCGUAAAAUUGCAGUUGAAACUGGCAGUCUUGAGUACAGUAGAGGUGGGCGGAAUUCGUGGUGUAGCGGUGAAAUGCUUAGAUAUCACGAAGAACUCCGAUUGCGAAGGCAGCUCACUGGACUGCAACUGACGCUGAGGCUCGAAAGUGUGGGUAUCAAACAGG